GACAGAGGAUGCAAGCGUUAUCCGGAAUGAUUGGGCGUAAAGCGUCUGUAGGUGGCUUUUAAGUCCGCCGUCAAAUCCCAGGCUCAACCCUGGACAGGCGGUGGAACUACCAAGCUGGAGUACGGUAGGGCAGAGGGAAUUUCCGGUGGAGCGGUGAAAUGCGUAGAGAUCGGAAAGAACACCAACGGCGAAAGCACUCUGCUGGGCCGACACUGACACUGAGAGACGAAAGCUAGGGAGCGAAUGGG
rnacentral:rRNA from 1 species